GCAAACCGAAAGUAAGAUGUGAACGUUGUGGUGAACAUGGUCACAACCACUGAAGAUGCUCAAAUUUGGUCCCAUCAAGCAAGAACGAUCGACAGAGUAACAACCUGUAGUAGGUGUCAAUGCCUGAUAAAAGCACCAAGUUUUCAUUCUUGAAUAAAAACAUUAUUCAAUUGUGACAAUAUGUCACAUUCUUGAAUUCGAAACAUUAUUGGAAUAAUAACGUUGAAAUCAUUUGUGACCAAAUGUUUUUCCAUUGUACAACUGAGAAUUGAUGUCUAGACAGUAAUGUAUUGGUUUUCUCAAUGAAAUAUG
rnacentral:lncRNA from 1 species